rnacentral:rRNA from 1 species
GACGAACGCUGGCGGCGUGCUUAACACAUGCAAGUCGAACGAAGUGGCGAACGGGUGAGUAAUACGUGGGUAACCUGCCUUCCUUUUUGGGAUAAGCCUUGGAAACGGGGUCUAAUACCGAAUAAAGGGGGAUGGGCCGGCGGCCUAUCAGCUUGUUGGUGGGGUGAGGGCCUACUAAGGCGGUGACGGGUAGCCGGCCUGAGAGGGUGACCGGCAACAUUGGGACUGAGAUGCGGCCCAGACUCGUACGGGGGGGAGCAGUGGGGGAUAUUGCACAAUGGUCGAAAGCCUGAUGCAGCGACGCCGCGUGGGGGAUGAAGGCUUUAGGGUUGUAAAACUCGUUCGCUAUCGAAGGGGUAGGUGGAGAGGAAGCGCCGGCUAACUACGUGCCAGCAGCCGCGGUAAUAC